rnacentral:rRNA from 1 species
UACGGGGGGAGCAAGCGUUGUUCGGAUUUACUGGGCGUAAAGGGCGCGUAGGCGGUCAGCACAAGUCAGUUGUGAAAUCUCCGAGCUUAACUCGGAAAGGUCAACUGAUACUGUGCGGCUAGAGUGCGGAAGGGGCAACUGGAAUUCUUGGUGUAGCGGUGAAAUGCGUAGAUAUCAAGAGGAACACCUGCGGCGAAGGCGGGUUGCUGGGCCGACACUGACGCUGAUGCGCGAAAGCGUAGGGGAGCGAACGGG